rnacentral:rRNA from 1 species
UACGAAGGGGGCUAGCGUUGCUCGGAAUCACUGGGCGUAAAGGGUGCGUAGGCGGGUCUUUAAGUCAGGGGUGAAAUCCUGGAGCUCAACUCCAGAACUGCCUUUGAUACUGAAGAUCUUGAGUCCGGGAGAGGUGAGUGGAACUGCGAGUGUAGAGGUGAAAUUCGUAGAUAUUCGCAAGAACACCAGUGGCGAAGGCGGCUCACUGGCCCGGUACUGACGCUGAGGAGCGAAAGCGUGGGGAGCGAACGAGGA